GGUGGAGUGGCCGAGUGGUCCAAGGCAUCAGUUCGAAAGGGCGUGGUUUCGAAUCCCACCUCCAUCA
rnacentral:tRNA from 1 species